rnacentral:rRNA from 1 species
GGUAGUCCACGCCGUAAACGAUGUCGACUUGGAGGUUGUGCCCUUGAGGCGUGGCUUCCGGAGCUAACGCGUUAAGUCGACCGCCUGGGGAGUACGGCCGCAAGGUUAAAACCCAAAUGAAUUGACGGGGGCCCGCACAAGCGGUGGAGCAUGUGGUUUAAUUCGAUGCAACGCGAAGAACCUUACCUACUCUUGACAUCCAGAGAACUUAGCAGAGAUGCUUUGGUGCCUUCGGGAACUCUGAGACAGGUGCUGCAUGGCUGUCGUCAGCUCGUGUUGUGAAAUGUUGGGUUAAGUCCCGCAACGAGCGCAACCCUUAUCCUUUGUUGCCAGCGGUUAGGCCGGGAACUCAAAGGAGACUGCCAGUGAUAAACUGGAGGAAGGUGGGGAUGACGUCAAGUCAUCAUGGCCCUUACGAGUAGGGCUACACACGUGCUACAAUGGCGCAUACAAAGAGAAGCGACCUCGCGAGAGCAAGCGGACCUCAUAAAGUGCGUCGUAGUCCGGAUUGGAGUCUGCAACUCGACUCCAUGAAGUCGGAAUCGCUAGUAAUCGUAGAUCAGAAUGCUACGGUGAAUACGUUCCCGGGCCUUGUACACACCGCCCGUCACACCAUGGGAGUGGGUUGCAAAAGAAGUAGGUAGCUUAACCUUCGGGAGGGCGCUUACCACUUUGUGAUUCAUGACUGGGGUGAAGUCGUAACAAGGUAACCGUAGGGGAACCUGC